CUGUGUGUUGUUGGGUAGGGGAGCGUUCUGUAAGCCUGCGAAGGUGGCCUGUGAGGGUUGCUGGAGGUAUCAGAAGUGCGAAUGCUGACAUAAGUAACGAUAAAGCGGGUGAAAAGCCCGCUCGCCGGAAGACCAAGGGUUCCUGUCCAACGUUAAUCGGGGCAGGGUGAGUCGACCCCUAAGGCGAGGCCGAAAGGCGUAGUCGAUGGGAAACGGGUUAAUAUUCCCGUACUUGGUGUUACUGCGAAGGGGGGACGGAGAAGGCUAUGUUGGCCGGGCGACGGUUGUCCCGGUUUAAGCGUGUAGGUGUGUGUUCCAGGUAAAUCCGGUUCACUUUAACACUGAGGCGUGACGACGAGGCACUACGGUGCUGAAGCAACAAAUGCCCUGCUUCCAGGAAAAGCCUCUAAGCAUCAGGUAACAUCAAAUCGUACCCCAAACCGACACAGGUGGUCAGGUAGAGAAUACCAAGGCGCUUGAGAGAACUCGGGUGAAGGAACUAGGCAAAAUGGUGCCGUAACUUCGGGAGAAGGCACGCUGACACGUAGGUGAAGUGAUUUACUCAUGGAGCUGAAGUCAGUCGAAGAUACCAGCUGGCUGCAACUGUUUAUUAAAAACACAGCACUGUGCAAACACGAAAGUGGACGUAUACGGUGUGACGCCUGCCCGGUGCCGGAAGGUUAAUUGAUGGGGUCAGCGCAAGCGAAGCUCCUGAUCGAAGCCCCGGUAAACGGCGGCCGUAACUAUAACGGUCCUAAGGUAGCGAAAUUCCUUGUCGGGUAAGUUCCGACCUGCACGAAUGGCGUAAUGAUGGCCAGGCUGUCUCCACCCGAGACUCAGUGAAAUUGAACUCGCUGUGAAGAUGCAGUGUACCCGCGGCAAGACGGAAAGACCCCGUGAACCUUUACUAUAGCUUGACACUGAACAUUGAGCCUUGAUGUGUAGGAUAGGUGGGAGGCUUUGAAGUGUGGACGCCAGUCUGCAUGGAGCCGACCUUGAAAUACCACCCUUUAAUGUUUGAUGUUCUAACGUGGACCCGUUACCCGGGUUGCGGACAGUGUCUGGUGGGUAGUUUGACUGGGGCGGUCUCCUCCUAAAGAGUAACGGAGGAGCACGAAGGUUGGCUAAUCCUGGUCGGACAUCAGGAGGUUAGUGCAAUGGCAUAAGCCAGCUUGACUGCGAGCGUGACGGCGCGAGCAGGUGCGAAAGCAGGUCAUAGUGAUCCGGUGGUUCUGAAUGGAAGGGCCAUCGCUCAACGGAUAAAAGGUACUCCGGGGAUAACAGGCUGAUACCGCCCAAGAGUUCAUAUCGACGGCGGUGUUUGGCACCUCGAUGUCGGCUCAUCACAUCCUGGGGCUGAAGUAGGUCCCAAGGGUAUGGCUGUUCGCCAUUUAAAGUGGUACGCGAGCUGGGUUUAGAACGUCGUGAGACAGUUCGGUCCCUAUCUGCCGUGGGCGCUGGAGAACUGAGGGGGGCUGCUCCUAGUACGAGAGGACCGGAGUGGACGCAUCACUGGUGUUCGGGUUGUCAUGCCAAUGGCACUGCCCGGUAGCUAAAUGCGGAAGAGAUAAGUGCUGAAAGCAUCUAAGCACGAAACUUGCCCCGAGAUGAGUUCUCCCUGAGACUUAGAGUCUCCUGAAGGAACGUUGAAGACGACGACGUUGAUAGGCCGGGUGUGUAAGCGCAGCGAUGCGUUGAGCUAACCGGUACUAAUGAACCGUGAGGCUUAACCUUACAACGCCGAAG
rnacentral:rRNA from 2 species